UACGAAGGGAGCUAGCGUUGUUCGGAAUCACUGGGCGUAAAGCGCACGUAGGCGGAUUUGCCAGUCAGGGGUGAAAUCCCGGGGCUCAACCUCGGAACUGCCUUUGAUACAGCAAGUCUUGAGUUCGAGAGAGGUGGGUGGAAUUCCUAGUGUAGAGGUGAAAUUCGUAGAUAUCUGGAGGAACACCGGUGGCGAAGGCGGCAUCCUGGACCAUUACUGACACUGAAAAGCGAAAGCCAGGGGAGCAAACGGG
rnacentral:rRNA from 1 species